UUGUCUUGCAUCAUUCAAUAUGUUAUCGUAUAAGGUAUUUGUUCGACAAUCAGCAGAUAAUCCAGAGUCUGCUAUAAAUAAAUAUAAAGGAGAAUUAAAUUUCUGUGGAGAUGAGGCAAGAAAAGCCUACAAUGAUAUAAUAGCCGAUCCUUGUUCAAGAAAACCGAAGAAUUUUCCCUCUCGUGCUGGUAAAUCUUCCAGUUUUGUAAAAAUAAAAACUAAAAAAUGUACUGAACUGCAACAAGUGAAUAUCACAGCGAAUGCUAUUUUGAAAUCAAUCGACCAAAUUGAUUGGAAUUUUAUAAAGCAAAAUGUAACGAAAGAAAACGUCAAUAUUACUGACAACUAUGGAUGGACACCAUUGAUGUUGGCAGCUUACAAUGGAAACUCGGAUAUUGUUAAAUAUUUAUUGACACUUGGAGCAGAUAAAAGUUUCAAAGAAAAAUCUGGCUACGAUGCACUACAAUUGGCUGGUAAAAAGCAUCAUGAUAACAUAAUUUCUUUAUUGGAGGGUGAAGAUCCCAAGGCUAUUGUUGAUAAUUAUGAAAAAAGUGACCAGAAUCAUGUGAAAUCGUCCGCAUUCUACUGUUCGGUCUGCAAAAUUAAUUUUCAAGAAACAACUGUGAAGAAACACGAGUCCUCGUUACUUCAUAUUUUUAACACAAAUCCAAAAUUACCGGAUCCUAUUUAUGGUAUACCAAAAGGGAAUAAAGGGUAUCAGAUAAUGUUGAAUACUGGGUGGGAAGAGUCAAAGGGUCUGGGACCCUCCGGUAGUGGGUUGAAAUAUCCUGUCAAGACCGUUCUAAAACGAGAUCGAAAGGGAUUUGGGGGAAACAGUGAAGCUCGACCUAGGAUUACCCACUUCGAAAGUAAUGCUGUGGCUGCAAUAAAAGAUGUUCGGCAAGAGCGAGUAAUGAGGGAAAAGGGUUAUAGAAAAAAAGAUAGAGAGAAGUUUCUUAGCAGAGAAGCUAGGAAAGAACGAGCUAUUAGACAAGCACUUUCUUGACUUUAUUGUUCGGUGAUGAAAAUACGAAAUGGAAGAAAUAGGGCACGGAUGGGGCACAAUAAUCAUGAAGGAACAGAGGGAGAUGCUGCAGUAUUUGCAGAAACUUGAGGAAAAAGGUGGAGAGAUUUUAACUGAUAGGCAGGAAAUUGUAGCGCUAGAUAAAAGGAGAAAUGAUGAUCGUGUUGGAAUGCGUGCACUUCA